rnacentral:rRNA from 1 species
AUGAAAGAAGCCCUCCGAGAAGUUAUGAAAGAACCUGUGAUUAAGGAAAGUGUUGAACACCCUGAUGGAGAAAGCCUCAACAGAUUUUACUCCAAUGCCUGUUAUUCAUGUGCAGAAGAAGGACAUUUUUCACAAUAUUGCACCAAGGAAAGAAACGAGUAUAUGGGAUACUUCCCGACAGAAGCAGUGGAGUUUGAUCCACAGGGAAUAGAAUGUUUGAUCAGAACAAAGAAAACCAGGAAGAGAAAACAAAGACACCCUCAGAACAACUCAAUCUCUGCAAAGAGAGACAAGAGUCAUAUUACCUGUUUUGAAUGUAAGGACGUCGGACAUUAUGCCAAUGAUUAUCUCGAAAGGAAGCAAGGAACUCAAGGAGCAGGCACCAUCACCAAGAAGCCUCGAGACAUGCCGGAAGUUAUUUGUUUUCGUUGCAAGGAAGCAGGACAUUUUGCUAGGGAUUGUUCAAAUCAUGAGAAAUCUGGAGCUGAGUAG